rnacentral:rRNA from 1 species
AAUAGAUACCCAGGUAGUCCACGCCGUAAACGAUGAGNGCUAAGUGUUAGAGGGUUUCCGCCCUUUAGUGCUGCAGCUAACGCAUUAAGCACUCCGCCUGGGGAGUACGGUCGCAAGACUGAAACUCAAAGGAAUUGACGGGGGCCCGCACAAGCGGUGGAGCAUGUGGUUUAAUUCGAAGCAACGCGAAGAACCUUACCAGGUCUUGACAUCCUCUGACAACUCUAGAGAUAGAGCGUUCCCCUUCGGGGGACAGAGUGACAGGUGGUGCAUGGUUGUCGUCAGCUCGUGUCGUGAGAUGUUGGGUUAAGUCCCGCAACGAGCGCAACCCUUGAUCUUAGUUGCCAGCAUUUAGUUGGGCACUCUAAGGUGACUGCCGGUGACAAACCGGAGGAAGGUGGGGAUGACGUCAAAUCAUCAUGCCCCUUAUGACCUGGGCCACACACGUGCUACAAUGGAUGGUACAAAGGGCUGCAAGACCGCGAGGUCAAGCCAAUCCCAUAAAACCAUUCUCAGUUCGGAUUGU